rnacentral:rRNA from 1 species
CAAUAGGGUAUAUUAAAGUUGUUGCAGUUAAAAAGUUCGUAGUUGUUGUGUGAUAUAUAUGAUGGUAUGCAGAUGUGUAUAUGAUGAUAUAUAUGAUAUAAGUAACCUUUCGUAAAGCAGAGCGUUAAAGGGAUAGUUUGUGUUCUGAAGGGACUAAUUGGUUAGAGUAUGUAUACUAAAGUUGAAUAGGAGCGGUUGUGGGCAUAGGUAUUGAGCGAUGAGAGGUGAAAUUCUUAGAUUUGCUCAGGACGAUCGGGUGCGAAAGCGUUUGCCAAGGACGUUUCGAUUAA